CGAGGGGCAGCAUGGAAGUUUGCUUGCAAACUUUUGAUGGCGACCGGCGCACGGGUGAGUAACACGUAUCCAACCUGCCUCAUACUCGGGGAUAGCCUUUCGAAAGAAAGAUUAAUACCCGAUGUCAUAGUCCUACCGCAUGAUGGGAUUAUUAAAGAAUUUCGGUAUGGGAUGGGGAUGCGUUCCAUUAGUUAGUUGGCGGGGUAACGGCCCACCAAGACAACGAUGGAUAGGGGUUCUGAGAGGAAGGUCCCCCACAUUGGAACUGAGACACGGUCCAAACUCCUACGGGAGGCAGCAGUGAGGAAUAUUGGUCAAUGGACGAGAGUCUGAACCAGCCAAGUAGCGUGAAGGAUGACUGCCCUAUGGGUUGUAAACUUCUUUUAUAUGGGAAUAAAAUGUUCCACGUGUGGGAUUUUGUAUGUACCAUAUGAAUAAGGAUCGGCUAACUCCGUGCCAGCAGCCGCGGUAAUACGGAGGAUCCGAGCGUUAUCCGGAUUUAUUGGGUUUAAAGGGAGCGUAGGUGGAUUGUUAAGUCAGUUGUGAAAGUUUGCGGCUCAACCGUAAAAUUGCAGUUGAAACUGGCAGUCUUGAGUACAGUAGAGGUGGGCGGAAUUCGUGGUGUAGCGGUGAAAUGCUUAGAUAUCACGAAGAACUCCGAUUGCGAAGGCAGCUCACUGGACUGCAACUGACACUGAGGCUCGAAAGUGUGGGUAUCAAACAGGAUUAGAUACCCUGGUAGUCCACACAGUAAACGAUGAAUACUCGCUGUUUGCGAUAUACGGCAAGCGGCCAAGCGAAAGCAUUA
rnacentral:rRNA from 1 species